UUAAAAGAAUUAUUGAAAUUUAUUUUAUUUUUAUUUUAAUUAAAAUAUUAAAUUUUUUAUUAUUUUUAAAGAAAAAAUUUUAUUUAUUAUAGUGAAUUAGUACUGAGAAGGAAAUUUUUGAAAUUUUUAAAAGAAAUAAAUUUGUGUACCUUGUGCAUCAGGGUUUAUUAAUUAUAAAUUAAAAAUUUAUUUUUCUCGAAUUUAAAAGGGCUAAAUUAUUAUAAAUUUUAUUGUUUCAUAAAUAUUUAAAAUAGUAAUUUAGUAAUGAAAUGUUAUUCGUUUUUAAAUAUAUCUAGUUUUUUAAGAAAAAAAUUUAAUUUUAUUAAUAAAUUAGAAAUAUUUAAAUUUUAAUUUUUUCAAUUUAUUAUUAAAUAAUUUAAGGGAUAAGCUUUAAAUUUAAUUUUUAUAAUUUAAUUUAAGUAUAAAUAAUUUGUAGGAUUAAUAAUUUCUAUCAUUAUAAGUUUAUAAAAAUUUAUUAUUUUAAGAUUAAUAUUUAUAUUAAAUUUAUUUUUUUUAUUAAAAUUUAAAAAUUAAUUAUUUAUUUUUAGUAAUAAUGAUAAAAUUAGUAUUAAAUAUUAAUAAUUUAAAAUUAUUAUUUAUUGAAAGGUUAAAUAAAGUAAUUCGGCAAAUAUAUUUUUCACCUGUUUAUUAAAAACAUCUCUUUUUGAAAAUAAUUUAAAGUAGGGCCUGCCCACUGAGUAUUUGAAGGGCCGCAGUAUUUUGACUGUGCAAAGGUAGCAUAAUCAUUAGUUUUUUAAUUGAAAGCUUGUAUGAAUGGUUUGAUGAGAAAAUAACUUUCUAUGUUUAAAUUUUUAAAAAUUUUAUUUUUAAGUUAAAAAGCUUAAAUUUUUAUAAUAGACGAGAAGACCCUAUAGAGUUUAAUUUUUGUAAAUUUUUAAAUUUUUAGAAUUUUAUAAUUAAAAUUUUUAUAAUAAUUUGAUUGGGGUGAUUAAAAAAUUAAAUUAACUUUUUUUAUAUUUAAACAAAAAUUUAUGAAUAUUUGAUCCAUAAUAAUGAUUAAAAGAUUAAAUUACCUUAGGGAUAACAGCGUUAUUUUUUUUUAGAGUUCAAAUCGAAAAAAGAGAUUGCGACCUCGAUGUUGGAUUAAAGUUAAUUUUAGGUGCAGAAGCUUAAAUAUUUGGUCUGUUCGACCAUUAAAACUUUACAUGAUCUGAGUUUAAACCGGUGUAAGCCAGGUUGGUUUCUAUCUUUAUUUAGUUAAUAUAUUUUAGUACGAAAGGACCAAAUUUAUAGUUAAAAAUUUUUAUUUUGAAUAAAAU
rnacentral:rRNA from 1 species